GACGAACGCUGGCGGCGUGCUUAACACUUGCAAGUCGAACGGAAAGGCCCUGCUUUUGUGGGGUGCUCGAGUGGCGAACGGGUGAGUAACACGUGAGUAACCUGCCCUUGACUUUGGGAUAACUUCAGGAAACUGGGGCUAAUACCGGAUAGGAGCUCCUGCUGCAUGGUGGGGGUUGGAAAGUUUCGGCGGUUGGGGAUGGACUCGCGGCUUAUCAGCUUGUUGGUGGGGUAGUGGCUUACCAAGGCUUUGACGGGUAGCCGGCCUGAGAGGGUGACCGGCCACAUUGGGACUGAGAUACGGCCCAGACUCCUACGGGAGGCAGCAGUGGGGAAUAUUGCACAAUGGGCGGAAGCCUGAUGCAGCAACGCCGCGUGCGGGAUGACGGCCUUCAGGUUGUAAACCGCUUUCGCCUGUGACGAAGCGUGAGUGACGGUAAUGGGUAAAGAAGCACCGGCUAACUACGUG
rnacentral:rRNA from 1 species